rnacentral:rRNA from 1 species
CUGAUUGAAGAGUUUGAUCCUGGCUCAGAACGAACGUUGGCGGUGUGCCUAAUACAUGCAAGUCGAGCGAGAAAACCGGGGCAACUCGGUGAGUACAGCGGCGGAAGGGUGCGUAAUACAUGGUUAACGUACCCCCCAGUUCGGGAUAACCCUCCGAAAGGUGGGCUAAUACCGGGUAAUGGCAACGGGUGGCAUCAUCUGUUGCUUAAAGCCGUAAGGCGCUGGGGGAGCGGACCAUGGCCUAUCAGCUAGUUGGCGGGGUAACGGCCCACCAAGGCAAUGACGGGUAGCCGGACUGAGAGGUUGAACGGCCACACGGGAACUGAGACACGGUCCCGACAUCUACGGAUGGCAGCAGUAGGGAAUCUUGCGCAAUGGGCGAAAGCCUGACGCAGCGACACCGCGUGGGGGAUGAAGGCCUUCGGGUUGUAAACCCCUUUCAUGAGGGAAGAACACUGACCUAACCUCAGGAAGAAGCACCGGCUAACUCCGUGCCAGCAGCUGCGGUAAUACGGAGAGUGCAAACGUUGUUCGGAUUCACUGGGCGUAAAGGGCACGUAGGCGGCUCGGCAAAUCGGUCGUGGAAUCCAGACGCUUACCGUCUGAACGGCGGCCGAAAAUACCGGGCUCGAGGGCGUGAGGGGUCACUGGAACUCCUGGUGAAGCGGUGAAAUGCGUAGAUAUCAGGAGGAACGCCGGAGGCGAAAGCGAGUGACUGGCGCGUUCCUGACGCUGAGGUGCGAAAGCUAGGGGAGCAAACAGGAUUAGAUACCCUGGUAGUCCUAGCCGUAAACGAUGGACACUGAGUGGAGGAGGGCUUGCCUUUCUCUGCUGCAGCUAACGCGUUAAGUGUCCCGCCUGGGGAGUACGGCCGCAAGGUUAAAACUCAAAGGAAUUGACGGGGGCUCGCACAAGCGGUGGAGCAUGUGGUUCAAUUCGAUGCAACGCGAAGAACCUUACCCGGGCUUGAAGUGGAGGUGGUAGAAACCGGAAACGGUAACGACCCCGCAAGGGGAGCCUUCAUCAGGUGUUGCAUGGCUGUCGUCAGCUCGUGUCGUGAGAUGUUGGGUUAAGUCCCGUAACGAGCGAAACCCUUGCGUCUAGUUGCUAACCGAAAGGUGCACUCUAGACGGACUGCCCGUGUCGAAUGGGAGGAAGGUGGGGAUGACGUCAAGUCAUCAUGGCCCUUAUGUCCGGGGCAACACACGUGCUACAAUGGUCGGUAUAAAGGGUUGCCAACCCGCGAGGGGGAGCCAAUCUCAAAAAGCCGACCUCAGUUCGGAUCGGAGGCUGCAAUUCGCCUCCGUGAAGCCGGAAUCGCUAGUAAUCGCGGAUCAGCCACGCCGCGGUGAAUAUGUUCCCGAGCCUUGUACACACCGCCCGUCAAGCCACCCAAGCACGGGGUACCUAAAGUCCGUUGCCCAACCGCAAGGAGGACGCGGCCCAGGGUAAAACGUGUGAGGAGGGCUAAGUCGUAACAAGGUAGCCGUAGGGGAAUCUGCGGCUGGAUCACCUCCUUUCUAAGGA